GGCACUGUGAGCUGAGUGAUAAAGCCGUUUAUUUGGCAUGCAAAAGAUCCCAGGUUCAAUCCCCAGCAAUCCCUGGUAGGUCA